rnacentral:rRNA from 1 species
ACCAAUCUCAGAUAAACUCCGAAUGCCAAUGAAUUAUGGUCGGCAGUCAGACUGCGAGUGCUAAGAUCCGUAGUCGAAAGGGAAACAGCCCAGACCACCAGCUAAGGUCCCAAAAUAAUUGUUAAGUGGAAAAGGAUGUGGGGUUGCACAGACAACUAGGAUGUUAGCUUAGAAGCAGCUAUUCAUUCAAAGAGUGCGUAAUAGCUCACUAGUCGAGUGACCCUGCGCCGAAAAUGUACCGGGGCUAAAACAAUUUACCGAAGCUGUGGAUACCUUUAUAGGUAUGGUAGGAGAGCGUUCUAUGUGUGAUGAAGGUAUACCGUGAGGAGUGCUGGAAC